UCGCAAAAAGGCGCGAAAGACGGAAGGCGGGGUGGUCAAAGUACAGACGACACCGUCGCAAUGCGAGGAGGAGGAGAGCGGUGUAGCGACUAUAAAAGGUGCGCUAGUUCUACGACGAUUGAUCGACAGCCCACGAGGGGCAUUCAUCCACGACGUGAGUCGUUUCGUGGACCAAAAUGAACCAAUAGCCGCUGUCACCGCAUGUCACUGAACACAGGGUCUCAUCCCAUCCUCUCUCAUCAUCAUCAUCAAUCUCAAGCGUUCCUCAACUGAAGGGAAAAUGCCGCGCUGUCUCGUAUGUCAGUACGACCCCAUCGAUGCCAUGCUCGUGGCCGUAGAAAGAGAGCACGAAGCUAGAAUAGAGAAUCU